CGAAAAUGAAUCAUUAACAUGUAAGAUUGAAAAGUCUUUUAUACUAUUAAACCCACGCUUUAAAAUGCCAACUAAAAAAUUGUCAAAGAUGCAAAGUUAAAAUUUAUAUUGACAUAAUUGAAAUAAAAAAAAUAUUCAAGCAAAUUCACAAUUAUAUAAUGACAUUCAAACAAUCAGAACAAACUCUAAGUGACAUUUUUUCAAACACUUACAAGUGGUCCAAAAUAUAUCACCAAAAUUUGAUAAAAUCAAUUUCAAUGUAGGAAGUUAAUGAAGCCCUAGAUCCCCACCUUAAUUAGCUCAUGUUGGUUGGCGGCCUCUUCGGAAUCACACUCAUCAACUCAUUCAUCCCCUUUUUCAUUCUCGUCUCUCCCACCAUCGUGAAAGUCCUCAAAUCAAGAGAGUUUCCGGCUCACCAGUUGUUGUCACUUUUCGUGUGGGUUGAAAUUGGUAGUGAAACAAAAGAGUCACCUCUCUAAUAAAUGUUCAACUCAGUACACACUCCGUACCAACCAAAUGACUCAACCAGGCGGGCGAUUUUUACAAUUAACUGGAUCGCUUGAUAAAAUUUCAUAUAUAAGGGUUG
rnacentral:lncRNA from 1 species